GGGGGUGUGGCUCAGUGGUAGAGCUCUCGCUUCGCAUACGAGGUGUCCCGGAUUCGACCCCCGGCACCUCCA
rfam:Schistosoma mattheei strain Denwood, Zambia genome assembly, scaffold: SMTD_contig0002155